rnacentral:lncRNA from 1 species
AAACUAAAAGACUAAUGGACACCCCUGGCAAGAGCCCCUUGAUUGAACAGAGCAGGUGCAAUGUUAGAUUUAAUGUGUUUGAACAUUCUGGGAAUAUGUGGAAAACUGUGUGAAGAUUCAUAUGUCAAAUAGGAGUGAUUUAGCUCUGAGGUCUGCAUGCUUUGUGGAAAGAUCCCCACACAUCCAUUGCUGCAAAAACCCAAUGUUGACUUUCUAAGCCAUCAUUUGGUUUGAAGUGUUUUCUUGAGUAAGAUUUUCAGUAAGAAGGCUAUUGUUUCAGGCUUUAGAGAAGAGGCCAGGAAACGCUGCCUGCAGGUUUGCUCUCUCCUGUUCAGGUGCUGCCACCAACUGUUUCUCAGAGGUGGGAGCCAAACCGGAUAAAGGCUGCGCAAGCUGUAGGAGCUCUAAUAUCAAGAUAUUCCUUCACCAAAUAUCAGCCAGCUCAACCAAGUGCAGGCAGCACCCAACCAUCACCACAACCAAGGAGGCUCUAUACAGCUGUCUGUCACGAGACCUCUCGCCCGCACUACAACAGGCUCCAUCCACAGCCUUUCCAAAGGCCCAAACCUGGCAGUUUAACCCUUUAUUCAUUCUUUGGCUUGGUCACAGGUUGGGUACACCAACAAGCAGUUGAUGCAAAAUCUAACAAGUGCAACCAGUGCAGUUUCAUUUCCAAAUGAGGCCUGCAGGGUGUUUGGCAAAUCAAAGAUGUGGAUGUGCAGCAGAGGUGCUCUCGCUUAGUAUUUAUUGGUAAAGCUCGUCAAAAUGUGUUAAAUGUUCUUUCUUCUCCCCUCUCCCUCUCAUGAAUGCUUUGGAAAACAGUCAGGAGAUCCUAAAUAGGGAUUUAUCUGGAGACAAGGCUGCUUCCGAGCACUGCACACCGCCUUUAAGCAUCCAAAUUAUGUUCCGUGUUUAAGUAUCCAAACAUGUUCUGUGUCAGCUUCUACUGAACAACACAGCUUUAUUACAAAAGCCUAAGUACGUUGUAUACUCAUACUUCUCUGAUGGUUGGGAAAACCAACUUUGUUCAUAUAAUCAGAAAAAAAAUCAUACAAAAGCAACAGAUGAAGGUGUUUACAAGCCAGUGCUGGCUCUCUCAACAGCAACGUGCAGGCACCAAGUGGAGAAUUCAACCAAGAAUUCAACUUGAGGCUGGUUUUGUUCAAAAAUAAAACCUUUUGCCUGUUUUCCUUAAAAAUCUGGGGGAAGGCAGAAGUGGAUUUAUUAGGAAUUAAUGGUUUUAGUGUACUGUCAGCCUAAUCAGAAAUACUUGCAUAGGUGGUGGUGCUCACUGGAUGUCCCCUGCAGUCAGUGGGACUGGCUCUGUCAUUAGGAUUUCACAGUAGGAACUACCUGAAGCGCUCUACAUGUCCCUUGCAGCACAGUUCUCUCAAUUGCUGAGGGAACCUCUGCAGACCAGCUUUCUGGCUCAGAUGUUUAUGUUCAGCAUGAAACUCAGCCAGGGUGACUCUCACUCUGACUUUAAAGGAUAUUGGAAGAGACGAGCGUAACCGCAGCUUGGCUAUGACAGUGGCUUGAGAUGCAGUUCCACAGCAGCUUAAGUGGAUCCAUUUCAUCCAGCUAACCUGGCACAAAAAACUAACCCAACCUAAAAAAAGCAAUUAGCUUUCUGCUAGCUUACUGACCUGCAACAGCUCUGUGCAGGGUCAGAGAAGCACCAGAGCUGGCACAAGUGAGGGUAUGAGACUGCAGCACCCAGUGAUUAGAUUAGCAGAACAUUAAAGGAGAGGCAGACCACUACAGACAGCUGCAAGCUUGAAAUAAUGAUGAAAGUUUAUGACACCAUACCCACCCUGGAAGAACUCCAGGAUUCCCUCUCAGGGACUAUAUAUUCUUUAUAAUGAAGCUUUUCAGGGCAGGGAUCAUGUCUGUGUGAGGAGGAGGUAGCAAUGAGAGAAAGCAGAAGAGAGAUGAAAUAGUGGAGGGAGACAGAAAAGUUCUGGGUCUGAGUCUGUAUCCAGCUGUGGUAAUUCAAACACUUCUAUUCAUGUAUUUAGAAUGAAAAGAUGAAAUUCCUUCUCCUGCCCUCUGUCAAAUUGAGGUCCUGAAUCUGUUCAGGACAAGAAGGGUUUCACAGUGCCUGCCUCAGCUAGGCACUGUUUUGACUUGUAAAAUCACACUUGUACAAUAUUAAAGAAGAAUACAUAUAUAUAUGUAUUUGCAAUGAAGAUGGAAAGAAUACUGAAAUACAACUUAGGGAAAGAAGUGGCUGAAUAUAGUUUUGUAUGCCACAAUAAAUCCAAUUUGGUGCCUAAAGAGGAGAUAAAAUGAUAAAGGUAAUAUACUUGACAAAGUUUCACGGAAGGAUAUGCUGGAAAAAUCUAUCCAGACCAUUUAUUCCUCUGUGGACAACAGGAUAGACUCAUUACAAAUUCUGCCUUUGUUGCUGUGUAGAAAUGAAAAUGCUAAUUGGUUUACUUGAAGUUUAAUUGAAAAUUAAUAGAAUUUCACUAGAGAUUUGCAGAAUAGGACUAGAGUUAAAAUGACAUUUGAUUAAAGUCAUACUAAAAAUCUACUCAAGGACAUUUUGAAGACAGCAGCAGUGGAGUUCCUUUUAAAAGCAGAAAUAAAUAUUUAUCAUUAG